UACGGAGGGGGCGAGCGUUAUUCGGAAUUAUUGGGCGUACAGGGCGCGUAGGCGGCCGGAUAAGUCAAAGGUGAAAUCCCUCGGCUCAACUGAGGAACUGCCUUUGAUACUGUUUGGCUUGAGUCCGGGAGGGGGUAGCGGAAUUCCCAGUGUAGCGGUGAAAUGCGUAGAUAUUGGGAGGAACACCAGUGGCGAAGGCGGCUACCUGGACCGGAACUGACGCUGAUGCGCGAAAGCGUGGGGAGCAAACAGG
rnacentral:rRNA from 1 species